CCACAUUUCACACUUACAGAACCCUAAAGCUCUCAUUCUUUUCCUUCACGCUUCCCGAUUUCCCUUUCUUCUUCAUCAUCUUCAAGGCUAUGAAGUUCAAUAGAUUCAAUGUGUUAUCAACCCGUUUUGUUAUAUUUGAUUGUUGGUGGAAGACGGUAGAGGUUCUCGGAUGUCACAGUUGCCCAUCCGGUGGCGGUGCUUCGAUAGAGGAAGAUGGUGACGGUGGUUGUGGCCUGAAGAGGAACUAUGACGGCGACAUGGGGUUCAUUUAGGGUUUUCUCCAACAGUGGUCUUGUGAUGGUUGUGGUUCAAGGCACAGGGCGGCGGCUAGGGUUCCACCACCACAUAAAUCUGACACUUCUCUCUCAUUGUUAUUGUUUGCUCUUAUUUCAAAUCUUUAUGAUUUAUACACGCUAAUCGCCUUCAAGUUGUUCACAAUUCCAUAUGCAAGUUUUCCAAUCCAGUCUUAUAAGCAUCUAUCUGCUUUUGUAAAUUGGGAAUCGGCUCGCGGAGGUUACAAUGAUCAGGUCAAUACCCUCAGAGAAGGGUUGAUGCCUUAUAAGCAAUUUAUUCAGGAGCUUGAAGAUGAUGUUCUGCCAUCAGAAGCUGAACGAAGGUAUCAAGAAUACAAGUCACAGUAUAUAUCAACUCAGAAUUGGAUGGCACUAUUGGUAAUUGCUUGCAAGAUUCUUAUUAUUUUUAUUCUUCAACCUUUUCUUUACUAGGAGAAAUGAGGCGGCUCGAAAGCUGGCUAAGGAGUUUUUGCAUGACUUGCAAAAUGGGUCAUUAGACUUGUAAGAGACCUUGCCAUGAUAUCACCUUUACAUCGUCUCUUGUCUAAUUAGGCCUGUAAAUGAACCGAAUUUCAACCGAACACUGACACAAACACGAACAUAUAACCGAACACAUUUUUUUGUUUAUGUUUGUUUAUUAAGAAAAUGGUCAUGUUCCUGUUUUUAGGGUAGUGAAUCGGUUCCUUCUUUUAUGUUUGAUCGGUUCUCGGGUCGGGUAAUGGUUGGGUAGGGUCGGGUUUUUCCUUUUGCUCACCCCUAUUUGGUGUGAUGUCAACUUCUAAGCUAUCCAACUGUGUGUGUCAUUAUUUAUUAGAUAAAAGUACUUAUAUAUAUUUUAUUAUAUUUAUUUAUUUAUUUAUUAUUAUUAUUAUUAUUAUUAUUAUUAUUAUUAUUAUUAUUAUUAUUAUUGUUGUUGUUGUUGUUAAUAGGGAGCAGAGUAUAAAUACGGUUAUAGGUUCACCUUAGGUAUUUGGUGUGAAACUUUAUGUUAAGUUGUAUAUACUAUUUGAUUAUAGGAGACAAAAGCUAUCAAGAGCAGAGAAAUUCUUUAGAUGACCAAGUGAGUUAUAAUAAGUGUUUUUACUCUGAUAGUAAUAAUUUAAUACUUGUCCAUAUUGGUAAUAAAUUUAAUAAUCUUAAUUAUUAGUCGCUAGCCGACAACGGUAACAUCUAUAUCUAUACCUUAAUUUUGGGGAUUUUAUUUCGCCUGAUCUCAUGUGGUUUGUUUCCUUUCACAAACACUUAAUCUGUAGCAGUUGUUUCUCAUCAAAGCGAAUAUUCAAAACUUUAAAUCGUUAACAAUCGAAGUGGAUUCAGGUAUGUUUAGUCUUAUUUACAUAAAUUUUUGCUGCUUUAAAUCUUACAUUACUAUUAUUCUACCUACCAUUGUUACUUUAUAUGUAUUGUGCCUCAGAAGCCCUAAUACCAACAAUCGUUUAGCAUACUGAUCAUUGAUAUGUAACUGUGCAUGUUCAAAUUUUACACACAAUACAGGGACUGAGUCAAGUGAAUCGCGAGUAAGAGUAUCGAGUUGCCUAUUUUCAGGUAUGAUAUUAAUCGACCAAGACAACUAUGGAAGAUUGGUUCACCACUUACCACAUCAAUACUCAUUUAGUUUUUCUUCAAGAAUCUUGGAAAUUUAAGAUUUAAAUAGAAUUUAGCAAAGAUAGUACAUUUUUUUAAAGAAACUUGAAAUGGCAGAUUUUGAUACGGAAUUUAGCAAGACCCGAUUGGUUAGUAAGCUUUAAUAUGAUUUAUUAUUUCAUUGAUUAUUGAUUAUAUUACUAUAUAUAUAGUUAAAAAUUGAAGAAUUUGAAGGAGAAAUUAGCAAAGAUAGUAACUUUUUUUCAAGAAACUUUGAAUGGAAGCUUUUUUGAAUGAAAAUUAACAGGUUGCAGGUGGUUAAUGAUCUGGUCAUAUUCAUAUCCACUAAUUUCAUUUUACUUCGGGUUUAAUUUUUUUUAUGUUUUUUGAAAAAGGUGUUUCAUGUUUGUGAAAGUAGGAGCACAUUCAGCAUACUUAUGACUGAGCUAAGUAUUGUUUCUUCAUGUUCUUGAAACAAAGACAAAAACCUCCAAAAGGGUGCUACCUUGCAUGGUUGCCACCCUUUGGCUAACACCCGGUACGUGUGCCCUGCAACUUUGUUCCAUAAACUUGCAUAAGAUGAAUGUUUCUAAUCUAUAUCUAUAUAUAUAAUAAACAUAUAAGGUUUGGGACACGUGUCGCGUUGUGGUGCAAGCAUUUGUGAUUAUUGGUGGGAAACAGUGGGAAACAUGUUAAUUUUACACGGGAUCCGAUUGUGAUAUCCAUACCCAAAAAUUUUGACCCGACUAUAUAUUGCUUCUAAAAUACCUCAAUCACUCAUUCACCAAACCCUAAUACGCCGUUCAAUCUCUCUGCCGAUUCUCUCCUGCCUUCGAUGCACAACCUCUAGAAGGCAAACCCUGGAGGUUAUCCACAACUCUUCGAUGCACAACCUCUAGAUCGACAACUCCAGAAAUGAUGGUUGUGGUUCGACUAAGAAGAAGAUGUUUACGGUGGUUGUGGCCUGAAUAAAAAGAUGACUGCUACAAGGAUUGGUUUCGGGUUUCGUCGGUUGUGAUAAUGUGAGGGUGUGGUUCAAGGAAGCGAGGACAAGGCGGCGGCUAGGGUUUCACCAGCAGCACGUAUUCUUAUGUUGCUGGUUUGAUUAUAGAACCUUAUCGGUAUUAUCUAAUUACAUAAAUCACUUUCAAUUUAUAUCAUCAUUCAUUUUGCAGUUUCCGAAAUUCGUACAAUUUUCUUCAGUUUUGUUCUCGAAUUCCUGCACUCUUUUGUUCAAUCUUGCAUCAAGAUUUUGUUUAACGGUGGUCUUGUGAUGGCUUAUUAGAACAACCAGACGUUUACAACAACCAGACGUUUAUUCCCUUCUUCAGAAGCUUCAUUCAAGGUGAUGGUUGUAACGACACAUGAAGGGGUGCUAGAAGAAUUUCAUGGAGCAAAAUUGGUUGGCUCACGAAGCUUUUCGUUCCCAUGGU